rnacentral:rRNA from 1 species
CAGCAUGGUCUUAGCUUGCUAAGGCCGAUGGCGACCGGCGCACGGGUGAGUAACACGUAUCCAACCUGCCGUCUACUCUUGGACAGCCUUCUGAAAGGAAGAUUAAUACAAGAUGGCAUCAUGAGUCCGCAUGUUCACAUGAUUAAAGGUAUUCCGGUAGACGAUGGGGAUGCGUUCCAUUAGAUAGUAGGCGGGGUAACGGCCCACCUAGUCUUCGAUGGAUAGGGGUUCUGAGAGGAAGGUCCCCCACAUUGGAACUGAGACACGGUCCAAACUCCUACGGGAGGCAGCAGUGAGGAAUAUUGGUCAAUGGGCGAGAGCCUGAACCAGCCAAGUAGCGUGAAGGAUGACUGCCCUAUGGGUUGUAAACUUCUUUUAUAAAGGAAUAAAGUCGGGUAUGGAUACCCGUUUGCAUGUACUUUAUGAAUAAGGAUCGGCUAACUCCGUGCCAGCAGCCGCGGUAAUACGGAGGAUCCGAGCGUUAUCCGGAUUUAUUGGGUUUAAAGGGAGCGUAGAUGGAUGUUUAAGUCAGUUGUGAAAGUUUGCGGCUCAACCGUAAAAUUGCAGUUGAUACUGGAUAUCUUGAGUGCAGUUGAGGCAGGCGGAAUUCGUGGUGUAGCGGUGAAAUGCUUAGAUAUCACGAAGAACUCCGAUUGCGAA